UUCGGAACAUGGCGCCGAACUGGUCCGGAGAUCGCUCCUGCAGGGUAGGGAUCAUGUUUUCUCUUUAUUUUUAAUAAUUAUUGUAUAUUGUAUCUGCAGAAACACUCUCUGGACAUGUUACAGUGUAUUUUAGGAAGAUUAAAAAAUGGCAGCGUUUCAUUGUGUUAUUCAGUUUGAGUUUUUGUGUCUUUUGGUGUUUUGUUGAUUUUCUUUGCAGAUGACACGACUCAAAUUUCCAUAGAAAAAUAAACAACCCUUUCUUUGCGGCAUUAUUUCAUAUAUAAUAGCUGUUCUUGGUAAGUCAGUGGAUGUCAGAUUUGAUCAUAAAGUGUAACUCAUUUAAGAUAAAAUAGAACUUUAUUAACCUUGAAGGAAAUUCUUGCAAUACAAUAGCUGAAUAUAAUUAGAGAACUGAUUAUCAAAUUACCUGCAUGGACACUUAAAAAAUCUAGAAAUUAAAAUGAACACCCAAUUAGUGUAUUUGUGUUAAAUAUCUCUGGAAAAAAUUCCCGUAAGCACAUGAAAAUGUGUGUAUAAUCAAAAUUAAGGGAAAACGUAAAUCUGAGUAAUAAUUGGCUAUAAAAUUGUAAUUUAGGGGGUAAAAAUGCUACAAAAUCUAGACAAACACUCAAAUAUUUGUGUAAAAUCUACGUUACGUUUUGCUAACUGAUUUGCAUUUAAAAGCUGACUGCAUGGCAACUUAAAUUAACACUGCAAUCUUGCUCGGGUUGGCUUUUAGACAUAAAUUUGUGCGCUACUGUCUUGCUAAGUACUAAUAUUCAUACAUGUUUACAGCUCUAUGUGACUGUGUUAGACCUUAUUUUAGGAAGAUUAAAAGCUGGCAGCGUUUGAUUGUGUAAUUCAGUUUGUGUCUGAGUUUUUCUUAAUUUUUUUUUGUGUUUUGGUAAUUUUCUUCGCAGAUGAUACGACUCAAUUUUUCACAGAAAAAUAAAUGAAACUACCCUCCUAAUUUAGAGGGCAAAAAUUGACACCCACCCGCUCCCUCCUGCGAACCCGGGCGGAGAGGGUCCUUUGCAGGGUGGAGGAGUCGACAGAGUCCCCCAGUAGCUCCACAUAGGAUUUCUGCAGGACACCUGACGGACUCGUCCCUUCUUGAAAUGUUCGACCGGACGUGGCAGCCGAGACUCGAAGAUAAACGUCCCAUGACCGAGCUGUCCGAACUGGCCGAGGCCGAACGUGUAGAUGUCGUCCUCUGGAAAACGACAAAGUGAUUCGCGCCACCGUGUGGCCGCCUCCACACGCCACCUGCUUCACUCUGUGCUUGAUGCUCUUCACCAGCUGAGGGACUCGAUGUCCCGGCAGCUGGUCGGUGCCCAGACCCAGUUUCCCACUGUCCCACUCCCCGAAGGUGAACAGAGCUCCGUCCGCUGAGGACAGACGGACAGACGUUCAUCUGAUGCAUCAAACAGAUUAUUAAGGGCAUACACGCAGGGAUCCCACCUGUGAGAGCAGCGGAGGUGUUGGAACCGGCAGCGAGCAUCUUGAUCGGUCCGUGUGAGUUGAAGAAGUCGACUCUGCAGAAGGCUGUCCGCUCGUCACAGUCUCCGAGCCCCAGC